AGAGUUUGAUCCUGGCUCAGAGUGAACGCUGGCGGCAGGCCUAACACAUGCAAGUCGAACGGCAGCACAGCAGUAGCAAUACUGUGGGUGGCGAGUGGCGGACGGGUGAGGAAUGCGUCGGAAUCUGCCUAUUUGUGGGGGAUAACGUAGGGUAACUUACGCUAAUACCGCAUACGACCUACGGGUGAAAGUGGGGGACCUUCGGGCCUCACGCAGAUAGAUGAGCCGACGCCGGAUUAGCUAGUUGGCGGGGUAAAGGCCCACCAAGGCGACGAUCCGUAGCUGGUCUGAGAGGAUGAUCAGCCACACUGGGACUGAGACACGGCCCAGACUCCUACGGGAGGCAGCAGUGGGGAAUAUUGGACAAUGGGCGCAAGCCUGAUCCAGCCAUGCCGCGUGUGUGAAGAAGGCCUUCGGGUUGUAAAGCACUUUUGUCCGGAAAGAAAUCCUUUCGAUUAAUACUCGGGAGGGAUGACGGUACCGA
rnacentral:rRNA from 1 species